rnacentral:lncRNA from 1 species
CAGAAUUGGCUUACUGGUCCGGGUAUCAGGAAUCCUGAGAAAAGACUCAAUACGGUGUAGCUGAAGGUUGCCAUUACAGAAGCCACUUGGAUAGUUGGGGUAAUGGAAAAGAGCAGCAUCCCAAGGUAAGUGAAGUAGAGCACCGUGCAGAAUGUUGUGUAGAAAUACCAAAAUACUUUAUUGACAGACCAGUAGAAGCCUAUGGUUGGAUAUGUGAUUAUCACAAACAGAACUGCUUGAAGGAAUAUAUAUGGAAUCUCAAUUGUCACCUGCAACAUAAGCAAAGUUUUUGUUCAAUUGAAACUAUCUAAUGUUCAAAAUAUUUUAACUACCUCUUUAGUUUUGAACAAUAGUAUUAUCUGCUUAUGAAUAUUUCCAAACCUGUGCAAAUGAAUAAGCCCACAAAGAGUACAUUCCAGAGAACCUUUCUCUCCACACAACGGUGCGCUCAGUGGCUAUAAAUGAUUGUACAGGUGAGCAGUUGGCUAUUCCCAAAAAUAGGACGAAAAUGUAGAUUGAUCCCAGUAUGUUCAACAAGUCCUGUUCAUCAUUUCUUCAGAACAAGAAUCGCUAUCAGUAUUUUUUAUCAUAUGUACAGACUUAAGGUAAAAUAUAUUGACCCUCCUAAAAGAAGUUUAAACAUUAUUUGCACUCGUAAAUCUUACUUGUGUGUAGAAUUGCCUUUUGCAGGGAUUCUUAUGGGUCAGCAUUUUUUAUGUACAGAGUUAAGGUAAAAGAUAUUGACCCUCCUAAAAGAACUUUAAACAUUACUAGCACUCGUAAAUCUUACUUGUGUGUAGAGUUGCCUUCUGCAGGGAUUCUUAUGGGUCUGUCUAUAUUUACUUCUUUAGUACAGUCGGGUUCUGGUUAAAUUGGUUGCUUAUUUUUCAUGUGAUAGAUGAUAUGUUAUUUCCUUUCAUUCUUAAUUACACCACCGUGUGGGUGGUGGGGUGAUUAUAUUAAGGAGUGGUCUUGGAGGAAAUUAUCCCAGUUACUUAUUUUACUAUCUUGAAUGAAAUAACCAUGUUUGAUAUUGGGUACACAUGAGUGCAAAUUGCCAAGGAACCAUAUUGGCAAUAUGUAGAAUUGGUACGUCUAGGAACUUUAAUAUGUGUGUUCUGGAUAUUAUGGUGGAAAUCAAUGUUGGUAUAGUAUUUGACUUCUCAAGAAACUUACAUGAUCUGUAUCUAUUUUAGGAAGAAACUUUGGGUUGCAUGAUCUGUGACUAGUUUAAUGUGUGCAAAUAGGUUGUUCUAGGCAUAGGCAUUUCUCAUGCUUGGGCUGCUACUUGUUAGUAGUCCAAAGUAAUUUUAAUGAAAUACUAAUUCCUUCGAGAUUCAUGCAACUCUUAUGCUCUUUUAGGGAAGAGACGGUUCAACUGCAGUUUGUCAUCAUCAGGUGUAAAACUGGUUUUGGUCAUCUUAGGUUUCUUCGAGUAUAAGAUUUUGUGUGAUAUUUAUUAUUUAAGCGAUCAUUAUGGGGAACAUGCCUUGUGUUUCCCUAAAUAUACUCAAUAUACGUGGACCCUUCCUUUAUUACGUGUACACAAAAUCUCCGCAUACCUUUUGAUUCCUUAAUUAAUUUUAAUUAUAAAAAAAAUGCUUACAUUUCUGUUCCUUUCUGCCAAAGAAUGCCCCCUAAGAGCAAAGACACCAUGGUAAUAAAUGUUAAUCGCACCAAGUUAUAUGUAGGACUCCUCCAAUAGGACAAGUUUUGUUUCCAGAGGCAUGCUUUGAACUGUUCCCAUCCAUUCUGUGGAAAACGAGUAGAAAAUUGUAGCUCCUCUAAACCUUCUGCUGGAGAGCUCAGUUCUCUAGCUAGUUCCUCCAUUUUCCUACAUAAAGAGGCAUGUAACAAUGGUCUAUUUGGUCACCAUCUCUUUUUUUGUUUCUAUUUCUUGAAUUUUCUGAAAAUUAGUACUUGUUUUGCUACUUACGAAAAAAAAUUAAUUUGGAAAACGAGUACUUGAAUUCUACAAAAAAAUUCUUAGCAAUUUUUUUGAAAAAUAGAUAAAUCUAAUUUCGCUUAUAUUUGAAGUGCAUAAUAAUUGCCACAAAAAUAAAAUUUAAUAAUUUAUGGCUGUAUUAGAUUAUUUAAUCCAUAUUCCUUCUAAAAGCAUCCGAAAAAACCUUUAUGGUGUUUCUUGAAAUGAGUGUCUUUUCAGAAACAUUUCCUGAAAGCAGUCAUCUGGAACAGCCUCCAAACACAUUUUUCUGUAAUUUCAGGAAUCAAAAUCGGAAAAACAGAUUGGAAAUCGAUAUCCAAACUGGCCUUAGUUGCCUGAUUACCUAUGUAAAAUAAUGGAUAGUAGUCGGAAAUCUAUUGUCAUAAAACUCUACUAAUUGUGUUCUAGCACUGUCGAUGACAUGGUUACUUAACAGUACGUAUUAGUCAAUGUCAAAAUACCAACGUCUCUGCAUUUUGAUAACUCAUGCUUACCGACAUAGAUGAGAUUCUUUAUAGAGAUUGGCAAAAUCUAGACCAAGUUGAACUUCUGCAGAUGGACUUGUAAUCUCUAGCAUCCACGUUGCGGGGUUAUAAUUUUCUUGUAUUUUUGGUACUCCAGGAAUAUUCUGCCAAAAAGAUGUAGAAAAAGCUGUAGUUUUAUAUCUGAGUUAUUGUAGGAUUGCAUCAGAUAGAGAUUUGGUUUCUCUGUUUUAUGUUCAGAUGUUUCUGGAAGCAACUCUGCACAAUGAAAACUGUAGGAAAAUAGAAGUUUGUUCCUUUUGUUGCUUACCUCAAAAUAUUCUAUCAGUUUACUUGAAUGCAGACCCAACUGUCCAGCAUAUAUUAUUUGUCCUCCUCUUUUCAUUAAAAUUAGCUACAUGAAAAAUAAAAGAUUUUCUUAGUUAUCAUAAUCUAGAAAAAAUGGUUCAGUUUUUUAGAGUCCAACAGUACUCUAUUUUUGACACGAACUUUCAUGUUAAUUGCAUUAGUGUACCUCAUCAAAUGCCUCGAAUAUAUUAAUACUUGGUUGAUGGAUGGUGCACACAACUGUCCUUCGUGUAUUAGCAAUAUUCUUCGCUACUCGCAUGACAAUUGCAUCUGCUCUGGCGUCUAAACCAGAAGUUGGUUCAUCCAUGAAUAUUAUGGAUGGAUUUGAAACAAGCUCUACUGCUAUAGUUAGCCUUUUCCGUUGCCCAUACGAUAUACCGUUUACACCAGGAUAGCCAACUAAUUCAUCCUUAAUAUCAUCGAGUUCAAUUAUUUCAAGAACUUCUGCAACAAAUUCCUGUAACAUAGAAAAGUUGAUUAAGCACUCACAUAUCAAAUUAAACAUUCUGAGAAGAAACAAAUAGUUUUUGACUUUUUGUGCCAUCAGACAUCUGUACGUUGGUUUUUGCACGUGUGUAUCUGUAUGUAUUUAACUUUGUGGACAUUUCAAGUGAAUUCUUGUUACAAAAUAUUUUUCUGCAAUGACUUGAAGACAUACACAUAAAUACUUAUUUACAUAUAUUUAUGUGUGUCACGUGCGCGCAAGUUCUAUAGGAUUUCAGUAGAUUACAAGAUGAGCAGAAAUGAAUGUCUUAGACCCCACCACUGUCUCUAGAGAUUCACAUGUUAUUAGAUAAUUUAGCUUCCUCUGUUUUUUUUGGUGUGCGUGUGUGUCUGGAUAAGUAGCAGUAGAGCUUCAUCUGUUUUUAUCAAGUAAUAAGAGAGCUUACAUUUUUUGUACUUCGAUGAAGCUGAGAUGGCAAACGUAACCAAGCAGAGUAUGCCAAGGAUUCUUUUAUUGUAACCAGAGGAGAAUGUGUAUCAGUUUGCUCGCAGUAACCAGAUAUUCUGGCAUAAGUGUCCUGAACCUUGGGGUAACCUCCAAUUCUUAUAUCUCCUUCAAUGAUACCACUAGUUUUACGUCCAGAGAGGACAUCCAAAAGUGUUGUUUUCCCAGCUCCAGUAACACCCACUAUAGCUGUCAAAAUUCCUGGCCUAAAUGAUCCUGUAAUAUCUUGAAGAAGCUGUAACCUUUUCUGUUCAAAACCUUACUCUUUCAUUUUCUGCAUGAUAUAUUGAAGAUUGAUUAGUUAUGAGUACAAGCCAUAUCCAACAGCCUUGGAAUUAAUUGACGACUUAAAAAAUGACUACCUUGGGAGUAUUCACAAAAUAUUGAACAUUCUCGAACGUUAUAAUCAUGGGCUCAAAAGGUAAGACCACCACUGUUGAAUAAUCAAAUCGCUUUUAAUGUUCCAUAAUGUAAGAAAAAUAUGAGCUCAAUAAUGUUACCCACUGCUUGCAUCCUUCAAUUUUAUCAAGCAGUGGAUGAAUUACUUCUCUUUUACCUGUGUAAAAUUAGUUCCUCACCUAUUUGUUUUGCUUCCUCAGGAGCUUUUGGAGAAUCAACAGGAGGCCUUAUGCUUUCAUUAGAUAAUUUUCUCAAACUUCUUUCCACUCUUAGUUUGGAGAGCCUUUCUUGUGAUAUAAUAGUCCGUGAUCUUCCUGGAGCUGUGCAAAUAUAUUUUUCAUCAGAUGCAGGUUAGUACGCAGAAAAUUAAUUACUUUUGUAUCUUUAUAUGUUUCCUUCUCUUAUUAUGCACGUGUGUGAGGAACUUACCCUUUAAACAACUUAAUGCAAAAGUGAAUCCAAUAUUAAGAACUAUCCAAAAUCCUACUAAUGCUCCUAUUGAUACCCAAUAAAAGUUUGCACUAUAAUUUAGUCCGUGGUAUGUUAGUACUUGUUGGCCUAUUGUAGCAUUUGAAGACGAGACCUGUAAAAGAAUGAUAUAUGAGAAUUUACCAAUGUAUCGAAAGCAAGUAGGACGUGCAUAAAUAUAUUAGAGGGUAAAUCGGUUCUGGUACCACCUUUUGCCAUCUUGGAGCAAGGAAUUCGUUUAUUGAAACACUGAUCUCGGCAUAAGUAAUUGGAGAAAGCCAAAAGCCCCAGUACAGCCAAGCAGGCAAAGAGGCUGCGACGAGGAGGGGCUAUUAGUUCUCGGUAAAGAAUUGUUUACUUCUUUUAGUAGAAAAGUCCUAUAAUAAGUUGCCUUACAUCGUGGAAUUAUGAAGCCACCAAAUAAAAACAUUACUAGCAUGGAGAAAAGACUACAAGACACAGCAAAAGAUGGAUUUCGCAACAUGGAUGCCAGGAAACGGAAUGAUGAUAUAGAUACUUGAUGUAAAACGAAAAGGAGGAGUAAUUGGCAAAGAAACCUGUGCAUCCGUGUAUAACAUCAGUACUUGGGAUGGAUCACAACAUUUUUUUUACAAAGAAAAGACGAGUUUUAUGUAUAACACACCUUUCGGGUUCAGGAGUAUAGCCAAUAACAUAAUAUGUAAGGACUGUCCACAGAAAAGCAUCUAGAAAUGAAAAUGGAAUCUUUAGAAUGGCAGCUGGAAUAGUGUAAGUCCAUGCAGGGUAAAAAUAGUAAUCUCUUUGCUUGUAGAAGACCGGAAGCCGAGAAAAAGUCAUGGAUACCUCAGAGAUUCCAUUGGUCACCAGUCUAACAAGGGCAUAAAAUAGAGAUCCCAUGUAAUAAUUUGCAUGGACAUCAUCCAUUUUUGUCCGCGUACGUAAUCAUUGUUAUAAUUGCAGUGACCACAAGCUGCAUAAACAUAACAACCAGGCCAAUGAAAAACACUUUUAAAUUUCCUUGACCAUACUUGUCAGAAAAAUAAAACCCUCAGCUCAUCAGACACGAAUGCAUUCAUGAAAUUCUUGUCGCAACUAAUCAGUACCUGUGCAGAUUUGAAUACAUGAACAAAUGAGUUACGCUUCAUAAGAAGCCAUUCUCUUGCCACGCAUGCCUUUAGUAGCUCCCAGUUUCUGACAGAGCGAGUGUUAAGUGACAAAGUGUUUUUCUGGAGCUCAAUUUUAUCAAUAGGCUGAGAGAUUUCUUUAUCCAGCUUUUGUCCCAAAUGAAACUCCUUGAAUUUUAUUUCAAACUCUUCAACAGAAACGUAAAUGUAAUGUUGGUCUUUACAGCUUGAUCCUUUUUGGAAACUACCUGUAGAAAAUAGAUGCUUGAGGUAAAUUAGUGAGACGACUAUUUUUGGACAUUUUAUUGUAGAAAUCAGUCAGGGAUACGUCACAUACUUCUUGGAGGAAGUCCGCAAUGCCUUUUCUUGGUGGACACCUGAAGCCACAAUUCUCAAAGAAUUCUAAAACAUUCUCUCGAGGUCCAUGGUAUACAGUCUUACCUUCAGCCAUCAAGAUGAUGUCGUCAAAGAGAUCAAAAGUCUCUGGAGCUGGCUGAAGUAGUGACAUCAAAAUGGUGGAUCCUGUAAUGUGAGCCAACUGCUGAAGACAGGUAACAAUCUGAAAAGUGGUUGAACUAUCUAAGCCAUUCGAUAUUUCAUCCAUAAGAAGAACUUUUGCUGGACCAAUUAUCAUCUCCCCUGGCACUUGAAACAUACAGGAAAGUUAUUAUGUUGGAAUUAAUGAUAUAUCGUUAGUUGUAAAGUGAACACUACAUAUAGUUAAUCCCAUAGGUUUCAACAUAUAAGAGACUUCAACUAAGAGCUAUUUAACCUUCGUAAAAUAGAAAUUAUAUGCUUAAAAGUUAUUAAUAUACACUUAAAAAUAAGUAUCAUUUGAUUAGAACCUGUUGUUAGCCUUUUCUUUUGACCACCUGAUAUUCCUCUUCUCAUUGCAUCUCCAACAACUGUAUCAGCGCAGUUAUCCAGUCCAAGUAUCUGAAUGGUCCCAUAAGUUGAUAUAAGAAUUGAGUAUUUUUUUUAAUAUUUCAACAUGGCGGUUGAAGGCGGUUAUUGUUUUCUUUGUUGAAGUUAAUUACCUUCAAAAUAUAAUCGGUCUGAAGAGUACUUUUUAACCCUUCAAUAGCAACUUCCUGUUAUAGUUCUUGAAUGAAAACAAUUAGUAGGAGAAUUAAGCUCUGUUCAACUGGUUUCUGCAGGAUAUAGUUUACCUUCAUAUAGGUGUCAAUAUCUGGUUCAGGAGAUACCCCAGCUUGUUUCUCCCUUCUGCUUACUUCCUCCAUAAUUUCUUUAAUACAUAACAGGAUCAACUAUAGGAUCAGUAUAAACUGUAAAAAUUGUUAUCAUGAGUGUAAUUUAGGCAACAAAGGUUACCUGCUCUGUUUCCAAUGCCCUGGCAGCGUGCUGCAAAAUUGAGUGUUUCUCUUACUGUGAUUUCAGAAAUGUGCUGGUCAUUUUGGCUAAUAUAAGCUGAUGUCUUCGGUGGAACAAAUUCAUUUAACUUGUAACCAUUGUAAAAGAUGUCACCAGUGACCUAAUAUGAGAUUCACAAAAACAAGAAUCAACAACUGUCCGUGUAUUCAGAAGGAAAGCGCUUCAGUGGACCUAAAGUUUGCACCUAGUGAUGUAUGGUUGUUUUGAAAUUGAUUGAAAAGUUUGGUUCCAUUGUUUCUUAAAGAUGUGAUAGGCCACGUCAUCAGGUUCAUUUAGCACUACUCUACAUUCCUUUUUUCUUUCUUUUGGUCUGUGUAGUAUCGCUUUAUGAAGAAAGAAUGACAAAGUUAUAAUUAUACAAGUUAGUUUUAUCCUUAAAAUAAAUACGCAAGUUUUCUUGAUCUAUUUUUCCUUUUUUGUUUGUUGCGACACAUUUGCAAAUUGCAAUGCUCAACUGUCUUGUAAAUUUUGUCUCAUGAUUGAAAAGUUGGAUGUCUUUUUCUCCCCCUCUUCUCACAGGAGCUUAUAAAAGAGGAGGGGAGAACCUUGAGAUUUUGGUCAAGUUUCCCUGCAAGUGCCAACAAUAAAGUGGUUUUCCCACAUUCCGGAUGCCCAAGUAACAGCGUCAUCCUGCCAAAGAAGUUUUUGCGUGUAAGUCUUUUUGUAGUUAAGGUAUUCACCCUUUGACAACAGAAAAUGAGUAACCUUGAAGGCUUGAUGAUGCCUCGGACG